GCUAUGUGCUUUCAUCUUGUUUUGAAGUCAUAUGGAAGCCUUAAACUGGAUAGAUUGUUAAUCGUAAAUGUGUUUAGUUGUUCAGAAGGAGGCUUGUUUUGUUGCUUGAGUAUGUCGUACAGGUGAUUCUUGGUUUUUAGAUCUGAAUUACUUUUGCUUUGAAUAUUGAUAGGAAAAGUUGAAAGGGAGUAUGAAACGAUACUGAAAAGGACGCUACAUAGGAUUUGUGUUUUGACAGUUGUUCCAAAGACCACCACCUCAGUGAUAAUUCAGGUUGUACAUGAUGGUGGUUCUGUAUCGUUUUUAUGUUCUUUGCACCUUGGUAAAUAUUUACAGAUGCUGUCUGAAACACAUAUAAUCCAGUAUAAACAAUGUCUGUUUGAGUAUUUAUAGAGUUUAUAGUAGUGAAAGUUUGUAAUCCCAUAAGUUGAGAGUGUGAAUAUAUUUUUGUGUAACUUCUACCGUGGCCUCCAUUCUGGCAGUUAGAAGGUAGGAAAUGUUUGUUCUAAAGAAAUAUGAUGUACAGAAAGGAAGACUAUGAAGGAUGGAAUUUACGAA